GAUGAAGAACGUAGCGAAAUGCGAUAAGUAGUGUGAAUUGCAGAAUUCAGUGAAUCAUCGAAUCUUUGAACGCACAUUGCGCCCUUUGGUAUUCCUUAGGGCAUGCCUGUUCGGGCGUCAUUUAAACCUUCAAGCUCAGCUUGGUGUUGGGUGACUGUCCGCCGCCUCCGGGCGGUCGGACUCGCCUCAAAUUGAUUGGCGGCCGGUACUUUGGCUUCGAGCGCAGCAGAAACGCGAACUCGAGGCCGUCGUCCUGGCUCCCAGAAGCUAUCUUCACAAUUUUGACCUCGGAUCAGGUAGGGAUACCCGCUGAACUUAAGCAUAUCAAUAAGCGGAGGA
rnacentral:misc_RNA from 1 species